CCUACGGGUGGCAGCAGUGAGGAAUAUUGGUCAAUGGGCGCAAGCCUGAACCAGCCAAGUCGCGUGAGGGAUGACGGUCCUAUGGAUUGUAAACCUCUUUUGUCAGGGAGCAACGCCGGCUACGUGUAGCCGGACUGAGAGUACCUGAAGAAAAAGCAUCGGCUAACUCCGUGCCAGCAGCCGCGGUAAUACGGAGGAUGCGAGCGUUAUCCGGAUUUAUUGGGUUUAAAGGGUGCGUAGGCGGAAUGCCAAGUCAGCGGUAAAAUCGCGGGGCUCAACCUCGCUCCGCCGUUGAAACUGGCGUGCUUGAGUGGGCGAGAAGUAGGCGGAAUGCGUGGUGUAGCGGUGAAAUGCAUAGAUAUCACGCAGAACUCCGAUUGCGAAGGCAGCAUACCGGCGCCCAACUGACGCUGAAGCACGAAAGCGUGGGUAUCGAACAGGAUUAGAUACCCGAGUAGUC
rnacentral:rRNA from 1 species